rnacentral:rRNA from 1 species
UACGAAGGGGGCUAGCGUUGUUCGGAAUUACUGGGCGUAAAGCGCGCGUAGGCGGACAGUUAAGUCAGGGGUGAAAUCCUGAGGCUCAACCUCAGAAUUGCCUUUGAUACUGGCUGUCUUGAGACCGGGAGAGGUGAGUGGAACACCCAGUGUAGAGGUGAAAUUCGUAGAUAUUGGGUAGAACACCAGUGGCGAAGGCGGCUCACUGGCCCGGUUCUGACGCUGAGGCGCGAAAGCGUGGGGAGCAAAC